CGAGCGAAGCGAGAGAACGUUGCGUCAGCAACGGCCCGCAGGGCGAGUCACGCAGUGGCGAGUCAUCCUCUAUCACCGACCA
rnacentral:sRNA from 5 species